CCUACGGGAGGCAGCAGUGAGGAAUAUUGGUCAAUGGCCGGAAGGCUGAACCAGCCAAGCCGCGUGAAGGACGAAGGUGCCAAGCAUUGUAAACUUCUUUUGUCAAGGGACAAAAUCAGGCUCGAGAGCCUGACAGAGGGUACUUGAAGAAAAAGCAUCGGCUAACUCCGUGCCAGCAGCCGCGGUAAUACGGGGGGUGCAAGCGUUGUCCGGAAUCAUUGGGCGUAAAGAGUUCGGAGGCGGGACGUAAAGUCAGGUGGUAAAGGCAGGGGGUCAAACUCUGUACGGCAGUGGAUACUUGCGGUCUAGAGUGCGAGAGAGGUAUGGGGAAUUCGUGGUGUAGCGGUGAAAUGCUUAGAUAUCGGGAGGAACCGCGAUGGCGUAAGC
rnacentral:rRNA from 1 species